rnacentral:rRNA from 1 species
UGGGGAAUAUUGCACAAUGGGCGCAAGCCUGAUGCAGCCAUGCCGCGUGUAUGAAGAAGGCCUUCGGGUUGUAAAGUACUUUCAGCGGGGAGGAAGGCGAUAAGGUUAAUAACCUUGUCGAUUGACGUUACCCGCAGAAGAAGCACCGGCUAACUCCGUGCCAGCAGCCGCGGUAAUACGGAGGAGGCAAGCGUUAAUCGGAAUUACUGGGCGUAAAGCGCACGCAGGCGGUCUGUCAAGUCGGAUGUGAAAUCCCCGGGCUCAACCUGGGAACUGCAUUCGAAACUGGCAGGCUAGAGUCUUGUAGAGGGGGGUAGAAUUCCAGGUGUAGCGGUGAAAUGCGUAGAGAUCUGGAGGAAUACCGGUGGCGAAGGCGGCCCCCUGGACAAAGACUGACGCUCAGGUGCGAAAGCGUGGGGAGCAAACA